rnacentral:rRNA from 1 species
GUGCCAGCAGCCGCGGUAAUACGUAGGAUGCAAGCGUUGUCCGGAAUUAUUGGGCGUAAAGAGUUCGUAGGCGGUUGCCUAAGUCUGUUGUUAAAGGCCUGAGCUCAACUCGGGUAUGGCAAUGGAUACUGGGCGGCUAGAGUGUGGUAGAGGUCACGGGAAUUCCAGGUGUAGCGGUGAAAUGCGUAGAUAUCUGGAGGAACACCAGUGGCGAAAGCGCGUGACUGGGCCACAACUGACGCUGAGGAACGAAAGCCAGGGUAGCGAAAGGGAUUAGAUACCCCUGUAGUCCUGGCCGUAAACGAUGGAUACUAGGUGUAGGAGGAUUCGACCCCUUCUGUGCCGUAGCUAACGCGAUAAGUAUCCCGCCUGGGGAGUACGGCCGCAAGGCUGAA